rnacentral:lncRNA from 1 species
CACCUCGCGCGCCUCCGCUUCCCCCUGCCCUGCGCCCACGUGAGGGUGCGGGAGCCGCCCGGAGGGAAACCAGGCUCUAACGCGAGCGAGGGAGAGCCGCGGCUUGGGAGGGGCUCGGCGAGCGGCAGCCGGCCCCCCUGCAACCCUGCCUUAGCCCCUCUCCGGAAGAGACUCCAGCGGGGCGUCGGUUUCGGUCCAGAUGUUUGCGCGCGCCCCUGGGUCUCGGGCGCCGAGGGCGGCGCCGCCGGAGUCGCGUGCCUCGUGCCGCGGCCCCGGGGCGGUGUCGUUCCCCGGUCCCGGGCUCGAGGCGCCCGGCCCCGCCGGUACCCCGGCGGCGUCCCGGACGCCGUCGGCGGCCCGUGCGCAUGCCGAGUCCCCCCGCGGCGGGGGGUUUUCGAGCGAGAGAGGAAUGCUGCUCGAAGUGCUUGACCACGAUCCCGCCGCCCCGGCGCGGUCGUGCCCCCGCCGCUGCAUGUGCGGGCUUCGGGGGGAGGUGGCGAAAAGGGGAAGAGACCCGGCGUCGUCGCCGGGCCCCACCCUCUCCGUGUGGGCGGUUGGGGCCCCGGGUGCCCGGUUCCCCGCCUUCGGUCGUCAGGGUCCCGGCUUCCCAUGGGGGAGGAAAGGGUCGGUGAUUCCCUCGGCCGGAGCGGCGGGGCGGGAGCUUAAGGCGGCGGUGCCUCUCCUCCCCUUUGCCCCCUUCCUCCGCUCCGCCUCAGCCCGCGGUCGGGUGUCUUUUAGGUUCUCCGGGUCCGUGCUCGCCGACGCGGCCGAACCGCCUCGUCCCCACCGGUGGGGCGGGGUCGGCGGUGCCGAGGCCCCUGCCCCGGCGGCUCGAGAGGGGUCCCCUCGACGUGUGGGCCAGCGAGGGCCCCGGCGGUCAGGCGCCGGGGUCGGUCCCGCUCGCUCGAGUGAGCGUCUUCCCUCCGAGAUGGGGAAUUGGGGUUGGCGUGACCGGCCGGGUGUGCCUUGGUCGCUCGUCCCGACCGCCCCGAGGGGCUGGGGCGAA